rnacentral:rRNA from 1 species
GACGAACGCUGGCGGCGUGCUUAACACAUGCAAGUCGAACGGAAAGACCCUGCUUUUGUGGGGUGCUCGAGUGGCGAACGGGUGAGUAACACGUGAGUAACCUGCCCUUGACUUUGGGUUAACUUCAGGAAACUGGGGCUAAUACCGGAUAGGAGCUCCUGCUGCAUGGUGGGGGUUGGAAAGUUUCGGCGGUUGGGGAUGGACUCGCGGCUUAUCAGCUUGUUGGUGGGGUAGUGGCUUACCAAGGCUUUGACGGGUAGCCGGCCUGAGAGGGUGACCGGCCACAUUGGGACUGAGAUACGGCCCAGACUCCUACGGGAGGCAGCAGUGGGGAAUAUUGCACAAUGGGCGGAAGCCUGAUGCAGCAACGCCGCGUGCGGGAUGACGGCCUUCGGGUUGUAAACCGCUUUCGCCUGUGACGAAGCGUGAGUGACGGUAAUGGGUAAAGAAGCACCGGCUAACUACGUG